GGUGGGUGGCCACCCCAAGGGAACCGAUAGCUCUUUGGUUUUUCCCGCUGUCUCUUGAGGGUCUCUUCCUGUGGGUUAUAAAAAGGGUGCAAGCCAACCAGGGAAGGGUAGAAGCAGAAGGGACAGAUGCCAAGAGCCAGCUGGCAGACGAUUCAGCUGUCAUGCUGGGAGGAAGGCCAAGCCAGAGACAUGGAGCCAGACCCUCUGGCCCAGCCCCUCCGGAGUCCCAACCUCCACGAACCCAGGACGCAGGAGCGGGGCUGCACAUACCCUCCUGAACCCGCCUGGAGCCAGCCCCACUGACCUGCUGCUGCCUCCUGAGCAGGCCCCUGUUUCCCGGCCUUUGCGUUUGCUUCUCCCUGUGCCCGAACCUCUCACCAUCUGCGUGACCCCUGCACAUCCUACGAAACCCAGCUCAAAAGGCCCCUUCUCUGCAAGUUAGGUGUCCUGGAAAUCGCAUGGGUCUGGAGCAAGGAGGCUCCAGUUCCAGUCCCAGCUCCACCUUGUAACUUGGCAAAUGACUUGUCUCAUGGCAGCCCAAGGGGAAGAUGGAAGCACCCCAACUUUACACAUAGGAGAUGCAGGGUGGGGGAGUUAAUACCAGUAACCUCUGAGUGCUCAUAGGCAAAGGUGGGACCCCUUAUCAGUGGGGCCACGCCCUUGUGUAGGUCCCAGCACUGGAGCCCCCCAGCCUUAGGGACUCGUGGCCCAGCUGAGGGGACACAGUGGGUGUCAGAGGCAGCCCAACGUCUCCUCCUGAGGAGGCCGGGAGCCUCCUGUGGUCCCCGAGUCCAGACAGGGAGACAGGUGAAUCACACCCUGUUUGUUUUACAAACUGGAUGACAGAGCCUGUCAGAUGACAUAAAAACCAAACAAAACCCCCAACCCCCAGCCCAGCACUUAGGAGGAGGGCCAGUUUGAACUCCAGGGCUCAGCACCCCCUACCCCUACAGGUGACCCGCCCCAGGGAACACGGCCUCCCUGUCCUUGUCCCUGGGGGAUUGCGGGGCUGGCGGAGACUCUGGAGGAGCCGGAACCACCCCUGGGGCCCUGAUGCCUCCUCCCCUCCGCUCACGGUUCCGUGGGGACUAGGAGGUGAGAGCUGAGGGCAGUGAGGAGUAGUUCCAGCUGGUGAUUAAAUAGGCAUUCUGCCUUGGGGCAGUGCGCAAUUCCUGGGCUCACCCCAGGCCUGAAUCAGACUCUGGGGCAGGGCCUGGGUUCCUGCACUUGGUACAUAUUCCCAGGAGACCCGGGUGGGCGGCAGGCACAGGGUUUGCCUUCUGUGCUGUCACCUCGGUGGGCCCCUGCUUCUUGGUGUCCUCGCAGGCCCGGCGUCCUCUUCUUCCAGGGCCUGACCCCUGCUCACCUGUCCCCGGCCAGCCGGCUCCUCCCUCACUGGACACCCUCUGGGACCUCCAAGGCAUCUUCCCCUCUCAUGCUCCAUUCAAUGCCAGGCUCUGGGAGCCUGGAGCCCACCCCCUGCUCUUGCCUCCAUCACACACCAUCCGGGCUGCUCCCUCCCCCACUCGAGUCACCCCUGAAUGGGCUCCCUGUUCCCACCUCCAGACCCUCCAGCCCAGGCAGAUGGAGCAGCACCUGAAAACUCAAGUCUGAUUACCCGGCCCUGCCCCCGGCCUGGACCUCUGCGGGGCCUUCCCCUCAAGGACAAACUGUGGCAGGUUCUAGCUGCACAACAAAAAUGGAAAACAGAAGGCAACAAAGCUUGGAGCAGUUUACCCAGCGAAGCAAGUUGUUCAAGGACAGGAGAUGCACGCAGUCUAGGGGGACAAGCACCCUAGGGGCACCUUCUGUUUACCCAAAACUUCAUUCCCUUCACCUAACAUCUCAGAAGGGGUCAUCUGUCUUUUAAAUUUAUUUAUAUGGCAGCCCCCUUUAUCUUUGGGGGACAUAUUCCAAAACCCCAGUGGGUGCCCCAAAUCAUGGAUAGUACAGAACCCCAUUCACACUGUAUUUUUUCCUAUACAUACAUCCUUAUGAUGAAGUUUAAUUUACAAAUUAGGCACAGGAAGAGAUAAACAAUAAUCACAAAACAGUAAUUGUUAACAGCGUACUGUAAUAAAAGCUCCGUGCAUGUGGUUUCUCUCUCCCAAAGAAUCUCAUUGUGCUGCACUCACCCUUCUCGUAAUGACAGGAUGACAAACAACCGCGUGAUGAGACCAAGCAGGUGCGGGUGGCGGCACCAGAUGCAGCACGAGGCGGCCACUCACCUGGCACGGUAAGGAGGGGCCUCUGCUCUCCCACCGUGGCUGACCGCAGGUAACAGACAGGAAAGCAAGACCUCAGAUGAGGCGGGACUGCAAUGACAAGCAGGCAUUUUUAGUUCCCUGAGGAGUUGAAUCCAUCAGUCUUUCUUUAUGGUCCUGUCCUUCCUCUUCAAGAUGAUAAAGAAAAUCUCCAAGGU